GCGCCUUAUGCAUGCAAGUCGAGCGAAGCUUUUCAGUAGUUUACUACAGAAAAUGACUGAGCGGCGAACGGGUGAGUAACGCGUGAGCAAUCUACCUUAGUUACAGGGAUAGCCCGAGGAAACUCGGAUUAAUACCUGAUAUUCUUUACAUUUCGCAUGAAAUCAAAAGGAAAGGUCAGCCGAACUAAGAUGAGCUCGCGUUCUAUCAGCUAGUUGGUGAGGUAAAAGCUCACCAAGGCAACGACGGAUAGCUGGUCUGAGAGGACGAUCAGCCACACUGGGACUGAGACACGGCCCAGACUCCUACGGGAGGCUGCAGCAGGGAAUAUUGCGCAAUGAGCGAAAGCUUGACGCAGCGACACCGCGUGUGGGAUGACGGAUCUAGGUUUGUAAACCACUUUCAGGAGGGAAGAAAAUGACGGUACCUCCACAAGAAGCCCCGGCCAACUACG
rnacentral:rRNA from 1 species